UACGGAGGGUGCAAGCGUUGUCCGGAAUCACUGGGUGUAAAGGGUGUGUAGGUGGGACUGUAAGUCAGAGGUGAAAGCCCGCGGCUCAACCGUGGAAUGGCCUUUGAUACUGCAGUUCUUGAGUCCUGGAGAGGUCGCUGGAAUUCGUGGUGUAGCGGUGAAAUGCGUAGAUAUCACGAGGAACACCAGAGGUGUAGACGGGUGACUGGACAGGUACUGACACUGAGGCACGAAAGCGUGGGGAGCAAACAGG
rnacentral:misc_RNA from 1 species